AAAUAUUUUUCAAAAAUCAAAAACAGCAUCCACCAGCAACGAACAAUUCAGAAGAUCUCGAACGGGCGCUAAGUGCACACACGAAACGAGUUAUACAAAAAUAAAAAUCCUAAAGUGGACCUAGUGUUAAAUUAUAAAAAGAAAAUUUUUUUCUAAAUUUUAAAACAAUUCUUUAUCAAUUUGAAAUUAUUUUAAACUAAAUCGAACGAAAAUGGUUUACGAAAGUGGAUUUACUACCCGCAGAACCUACUCUUCCAGGCCAGUCGUUACCUCGUACGCAGUUUCGUACCCUGUAGUAACCAAGGUAUCUCGCGUGUACAAAUCGAGUUAUCCGAUAUACUCGACAUCAAGCUAUACUCGUGGAACCCGUGUAAUUUCAUCGCCAGUUCGAGUUGUGACUUCCCCAGCUCGUGUAUUCACACGUGUAAUUCGUUCACCAUCACCAGUUCGUGUGAGUCGCACGACAACUACUCGUGUUAUUACAUCGCCAGAGCGUAUAUCUUCUUACACUUACACUACACCAACGACAUAUUCUUCGUCCUAUAUCCCAUCGACCACUUAUUAUUCGUCUUAUACCCCAUAUGUUUCGUCUUAUACACCGAGAUACAUUUCGUCUUAUACACCAUCGACCUAUGUCUACUCAUCACCAUCAUAUUUGUACUCGUCGCCAGUGACUCGUGUCUACUCACGUUCCUUGACUCCCGUGAGAGUAACAACUUCUCCAGUACGUGUAACUCCCUCAUAUUUGAAGAGAACUCUGCCCGGUUAUGGUGCCCGCGCACUAACCAAUUACCUCAGCACUGAACCCUUCACUACGUUCCGCGAGGAAACCGGCAGAAUACGUAAUAGAGCUCAAUCGCUUAUGCGUGACUUGCACACACCUGUAGUACGUCGUGCACGCAGUAUGACACCAUUCCCAGUGACUGGCUAUGAACCCACUACUGAUGUAGCUUUCGAUGCUUACGUAUCCCGCAUCACUAAUCCUGUGCGCCACAUUGCCAAGGAAGUGCACAGAAUGUCGAUGUAUCCAGAACCCGCUCAUAAAUAUGUUGGCAAAAGUCAUCUCGCUUCGGUAAGGAUUUGUGGCGAUAAAGCUUACAAUGUUAGAAGACCUCUGUAUGAUACCGAUAGAGUACGCACUGAUAUUAAUCUUUUGUCAUGGUACUUGAGACACCCCACAGUCAAGAAAGAGAAAAUGAUCAAAGAACAAGUGGAGAGUGUCGAUACAGACGGUCGUUAAGAUUUGUACCUAAAUGCAAUAAGCCAUGAUCAGGACCUCAAAGCAUUUUCAUAACGCUUUUCAGUUAUGAGAAGAACCCCGAAUUGGAUCC
rnacentral:misc_RNA from 1 species